AUACUUUGGAAUUCAGUUUUUGUUUCCCUUUUUUCAUGCGACUUUCUUAUUUUUAUUCUCUUCUCUUUCUUUUUACUUG
rnacentral:ribozyme from 14 species